UACAGAGGGUGCGAGCGUUGUCCGGAAUCACUGGGCGUAAAGGGCGCGUAGGCGGCCUGUUAAGUCGAACGUGAAAUCCCCGGGCUCAACCCGGGAACUGCGUCCGAUACUGGCAGGCUUGAAUUCGGGAGAGGGAUGCGGAAUUCCAGGUGUAGCGGUGAAAUGCGUAGAUAUCUGGAGGAACACCGGUGGCGAAGGCGGCAUCCUGGACCGAGAUUGACGCUGAUGCGCGAAAGCCAGGGGAGCAAACGGG
rnacentral:rRNA from 1 species